rnacentral:rRNA from 1 species
UAGGGAAUCUUCGGCAAUGGACGAAAGUCUGACCGAGCAACGCCGCGUGAGUGAAGAAGGUUUUCGGAUCGUAAAACUCUGUUGUUAGAGAAGAACAAGGACGUUAGUAACUGAACGUCCCCUGACGGUAUCUAACCAGAAAGCCACGGCUAACUACGUGCCAGCAGCCGCGGUAAUACGUAGGUGGCAAGCGUUGUCCGGAUUUAUUGGGCGUAAAGCGAGCGCAGGCGGUUUCUUAAGUCUGAUGUGAAAGCCCCCGGCUCAACCGGGGAGGGUCAUUGGAAACUGUGAGACUUGAGUGCAGAAGAGGAGAGUGGAAUUCCAUGUGUAGCGGUGAAAUGCGGAGAUAUAUGGAGGAACACCAGUGGCGAAGGCGGCUCUCUGGUCUGUAACUGACGCUGAGGCUCGAAAGCGUGGGGAUCAAACAGG